UUGGUACUAAGCCUGUGAGUCGUUGCAGCAAUGCAAGGCAGACGGCUCAGUAACACGUAGUCAACCUAACCUAUGGACGGGGAUAACCUCGGGAAACUGAGAAUAAUACCCGAUAGAUCAUGAUACCUGGAACGGUUUAUGGUUCAAAUGAUUUAUCGCCAUAGGAUGGGACUGCGGUCUAUCAGCUUGUUGGUGAGGUAAUGGCCCACCAAGGCUAUAACAGAUACGGGCUCUGAGAGGAGGGGCCCGGAGAUGGGUACUGAGACACGGACCCAGGUCCUAUGGGGCGCAGCAGGCGAGAAACCUUUGCAAUGUGCGAAAGCACGACAAGGGUUAAUCCGAGUGAUUCCUGCUAAAGGAAUCUUUUGUUAGUCAUAAAACCACUGAUGAAUAAGGGGUGGGCAAGUUCUGGUGUCAGCCGCCGCGGUAAUACCAGCACCUCGAGUGGUCAGGAGGUUUAUUGGGCCAAAAGCAUCCGUAGCCGGCCGCUCAAGUUUCCGGUUAAAUCCACACGCUUAACGUAUGGGCUGCCGGAAAUACUGUUCAGCUAGGGAGUGGGAGAGGUAGACGGUACUCGAUAGGAAGGGGUAAAAUCCUUUGAUCUAUUGAUGACCACCUGUGGCGAAGGCGGUCUACCAGAACACGUUCGACGGUGAGGGAUGAAAGCUGGGGGAGCAAACCGGAUUAGAUACCCGGGUAGUCCCAGCUGUAAACGAUGCAGACUCGGUGAUGCAUUGGCUUAUGGCCAGUGCAGUGCCGCAGGGAAGCCGUUAAGUUUGCCGNCCUGGGAAGUACGUACGCAAGUAU
rnacentral:rRNA from 1 species